rnacentral:rRNA from 1 species
GAUGAACGCUGGCGGCGUGCCUAAUACAUGCAAGUCGAGCGAACAGAUGAGGAGCUUGCUCCUCUAACGUUAGCGGCGGACGGGUGAGUAACACGUGGAUAACCUACCUAUAAGACUGGGAUAACUUCGGGAAACCGGAGCUAAUACCGGAUAAUAUAUUGAACCGCAUGGUUCAAUAGUGAAAGACGGUUUUGCUGUCACUUAUAGAUGGAUCCGCGCCGCAUUAGCUAGUUGGUAAGGUAACGGCUUACCAAGGCAACGAUGCGUAGCCGACCUGAGAGGGUGAUCGGCCACACUGGAACUGAGACACGGUCCAGACUCCUACGGGAGGCAGCAGUAGGGAAUCUUCCGCAAUGGGCGAAAGCCUGACGGAGCAACGCCGCGUGAGUGAUGAAGGUCUUCGGAUCGUAAAACUCUGUUAUUAGGGAAGAACAAAUGUGUAAGUAACUAUGCACGUCUCGACGGUACCUAAUCAGAAAGCCACGGCUAACUACGUG